rnacentral:rRNA from 1 species
CAGCUAGUUGGUGGGGUAAUGGCUCACCAAGGCAACGAUCAGUAUCCGGCCUGAGAGGGCGGACGGACACACUGGGACUGAGACACGGCCCAGACUCCUACGGGAGGCAGCAGUGGGGAAUUGUUCGCAAUGGGCGCAAGCCUGACGACGCAACGCCGCGUGGAGGAUGAAGAUUUUCGGAUCGUAAACUCCUUUCGAUCGAGACGAAUGGCCUUUGGGUAAAUAGCCCGGAGGAAUGACGGUACCGAGAGAAGAAGCCCCGGCUAACUCCGUGCCAGCAGCCGCGGUAAUACGGGGGGGGCAAGCGUUGUUCGGAAUUACUGGGCGUAAAGGGCUCGUAGGUGGCCAACUAAGUCACACGUGAAAUCCCUCGGCUUAACCGGGGAACUGCGUGUGAUACUGGAUGGCUUGAGUUUGGGAGAGGGAUGCGGAAUUC